AUACGGAAGGGGGCUAGCGUUGUUCGGAAUUACUGGGCGUAAAGCGCAUGUAGGCGGACUAUUUAAGUCGAGGGGUGAAAGUCCCGGGGCUCAACCUCGGAACUGCCUUUGAUACUGGGUGUCUAGAGUGUGGAAGAGGUAAGUGGAAUUCCGAGUGUAGAGGUGAAAUUCGUAGAUAUUCGGAGGAACACCAGUGGCGAAGGCGGCUUACUGGUCCAUUACUGACGCUGAGGUGCGAAAGCGUGGGGAGC
rnacentral:rRNA from 1 species